rnacentral:rRNA from 1 species
ACACGACUACAUUAGAUACCCGUGUAGUCCUAGCCGUAAACGAUACUCGCUAGGUGUCGGCCACGGUGCGACCGUUGUCGGUGCCGUAGGGAAGCCGUGAAGCGAGCCACCUGGGAAGUACGGCCGCAAGGCUGAAACUUAAAGGAAUUGGCGGGGAGCACCACAACGGGUGGAGCUUGCGGUUUAAUUGGAUUCAACGCCGGAAAUCUUACCGGGACCGACAGCAAUAUGAAGGCCAAGCUGAAGACUUUGCCGGAUUAGCUG